AAGGGAAAGUAUAAAGGAAUUUAGGGUUUCAUUUCUUCCGAGAAAUCCCCCAUUUGGCCUCUAUCAUCCAUUCUUGCGCCUGUGAUCUGAUUUCCUUAUUAAAGCAAUGAAGCCAGGAGUAUCGACAUUGAACCCUUAUGCUGCAUCAUACAUACCGUUGUCUAAAAGAGAAGCAGCAGAAGAAAUUGAAGUUCCUGGAGUGACCACCAAAGUUUCUCAUAUUGGCAAUCAAACUGUCUUGAAUGCACCUGCGGAGCAUACUACUCAGAACAGGCAGCACAGUCAAUCUUCUUCCAUUCCUCAAGUAUCUAUAUUGAAAAGUCACCCUGCCCAUGGCGUUUAUGAUUCAUCAUCUCAAAAUUUAAAUGAUUUGACAGACAAGCAGAUGAUGGAUGAGGAAUUUGACGUGGAUUUGGAAUAUCUUGGAAUGACAUUUCCUGGCAUUUCUGAUGAGUCUCUUAAUGAUGUCUAUAUGGCAAACAUGGGUGACUUGGAGGCCACUAUUGAUAUGUUAAACCAACUUG
rnacentral:misc_RNA from 1 species